AUACCAAGUGAUUAAGUUAUAUCUUUAGGUAAAAAGACAGUUAAGCUUAAAUUUUAAAAUUAGUUUAUUAACCAUCUAUAAAAAAGUAAAAUUUGUAUAUAGGUAGCUAAUCUAUGAAUGACUAUUGUAGAAGGCUGAAGCUGUGAUAGUCUUGAGGGAAACUGGGAUUAGAUACCCCAUUAUUCUUGACUGUAAAUAUAAUUAAAUUUACCAGAGUACUAUGAAUAGUUAAGAAUUUAAAACUCAAAGGGCUUGGCGGUGUUUUAGACCUAUCAGGGGAACCUGUCUCGUAAUCGACAAUCCACGAUAUAUCUAACCUUAUUUCGUAUUCAGUUUGUAUACCGUCGUCGUCAGGUAACUUUUAAAAAUAUAGAAGUUAGCAAUAAAAAUUUAUCUAAAUUAAGACGUCAGAUCAAGGUGCAGCCUAUAAUAAGGGGAGGAUGGGUUACAAUUAUUAAAUUUAUAAUCACGGAAAUUUAAAUGAAACUAUAUUUAGAAGGAGGACUUGAAAGUAAACUAAAAUAUAUAAAUAGUUUGAAUUAGGCUCUG
rnacentral:rRNA from 1 species